CCUACGGGAGGCAGCAGUGGGGGAUAUUGCACAAUGGGGGAAACCCUGAUGCAGCGACGCCGCGUGAGCGAUGAAGCCUUUCGGUACGUAAAGCCCUAUCAGCAGGGAAGAAAAUGACGGUACCUGAAGAAGAAGCCCCGGCUAACUACGUGCCAGCAGCCGCGGUAAUACGUAGGGGGCAAGCGUUAUCCGGAUUUACUGGGUGUAAAGGGGGCGCAGACGGCAGUGCAAGCCAGGAGUGAAAGACCGGGGCACAACCCCGGGACUGCUCUUGGAACUGCGUAGCUGGAGUGUAGGAGAGGCAGGCGGAAUUCCUGGUGUAGCGGUGAAAUGCGUAGAUAUCAGGAGGAACACCAGUGGCGAAGGCGGCCUGCUGGACUGUAACUGACGUUGAGGCUCGAAAGCGUGGGGAGCAAACAGGAUUAGAUACCCGAGUAGUC
rnacentral:rRNA from 1 species